rnacentral:lncRNA from 1 species
AUGUCCCCUCUGCAGCAGCCCAAACCAGGGAGGGGACAGCAGCACCACAAAUGUCCCCUCUGCAGCAGCCCAGGGCAGGGAGGGGACAGCAGCACCACAAAUGUCCCCCCUGCAGCAGCCCAAACCAGGGAGGGGACAGCAGCACCUGAAAUGUCCCCUCUGCAGCAGCCCAGGGCAGGGAGGGGACAGCAGCACCACAAAUGUCCCCUCUGCAGCAGCCCAGACCUGAGGACAGGGAGGGGACAGCAGCACCACAAAUGUCCCCUCUGCAGCAGCCCAGACCUGAGGACAGGGAGGGGACAGCAGCACCACAAAUGUCCCCUCUGCAGCAGCCCAGACCUGAGGACAGGGAGGGGACAGCAGGGUGCUGCUCCAGCCACAGGAGCUCCCCUCACCAGCCAGGUGUUGGAACACUCACUGUCCCCAGGCUCUCCCAGCUGCCAGCUCACAAACUGCCCGCAGUGAUGAUCUUUAUUCCUCUAUCCAGAGGGAAAAACUGCUCUCUCCCUUUGGGGUUUCUCAGCCCAGGCCAGGCCCAGCUGUGAAUUCUGUGCAGCCCCAUCAGCCAGAGGCACACUGGUCCCAUUAACCCCCAGGACAGCGACUUCAAUGUGAGCCCCGAGAGAGAAGAGCCCUGCGAGCAGAGCCAGAGCAGCAGCAGCAGCCUCGUUUUCCAGUGGGUGGGAUGGCAGGGCCACGCUCCCCUCCCUCUGUUUUAUGGCUUUUUUCCUAUAAAACAGCCUUUCCUCUGGGGAGGGUGGCAAUUCUGGCUGGGAGGGCAGCAUUUGGGAGGUGCUGAGCAUUUGUGAUGUGUCCCUUCAGGACACAGUGCUCAGCCCCACUCAGGAGCCUGGUCCUCGCUGGAGUUCGGGCUCUGCAGGAGCAGCACGGCUCAUUAGGCUGGGGAAGCUUUCAGACCUUAAAGGAACUGCUUCUCCUGUAAGUGAGCUGCUAAAAGCGCUGAGUUGUUCUUCCACAGCAUUUCAAAUUCACUGCUUUCUCAUUAUCCUUGACCUUUUUGCAUUUUUUACUGGAAAGGGGAAAAAAAUUCACUUUGCAGUAAAUUACUGCAAAUCCCUCCCCAAAAAUGUUUAAAAACAGAGCCUGGCAAGCUGGGACAGGGGAGCAACAGCUCUCACUUGCCUCUGUUUUCUGUACAAAGAUGAUUUUAUGUCUGUUUUAUGGAUCCUAAACCCCUGUGACUCGUUUAGAAAGGACUUUUAGCAGGACAGGUGCACAAAUCCUCUGCAGUACUUUGUGUUCUGAGUGGCAGGGAGACAGAGUGUGUGAUGGGACAGGACACCCUCCUGUGUGCUGCUCCUGAAGCCUUGCACUCUGGGUCUUGGUCCCAUCUCUUGGUCCCUGUGUUUUUAUCCCUGUCAGGUCAUUCCCAUCUCUUGGUCCCUGUGUCUUGGUCCUCUUCACUCCCAUCUCUUGAUCCCCAUCUCUUGAUCCCCUCCAUCUC